rnacentral:rRNA from 1 species
AUUGAACGCUGGCGGCAGGCCUAACACAUGCAAGUCGAACGAGUGGCGGACGGGUGAGUAAUGUCUGGGAACCUGCCUGAUGGAGGGGGAUGACUACUGUAAACGGUAGCUAAUACCGCAUACCAUCAGAUGUGCCCAGGUGGGAUUAGCUUGUUGGUGGGGUAACGGCUCACCAUGGCGACGAUCCCUAGCUGGUCUGAGAGGAUGACCAGCCACACUGGGACUGAGACACGGUCCAGACUCCUACGGGAGGCAGCAGUGGGGAAUAUUGCACAAUGGGCGCAAGUCUGAUGCAGCCAUGCCGCGUGUAUGAAGAAGGCCUUCGGGUUGUAAAGUACUUUCGGCGGGGAGGCGUUACCCGCCGAGGAAGCACCGGCUAACUCCGUGCCAGCAGCCGCGAUAAUUC